rnacentral:rRNA from 1 species
CUGAACCAGCCAAGUAGCGUGAAGGAUGAAGGUCUAUGGAUUGUAAACUUCUUUUAUACGGGGAAUAAACGAAUCCACGCGUGGAUUUUUGCAUGUACCGUAUGAAUAAGGAUCGGCUAACUCCGUGCCAGCAGCCGCGGUAAUACGGAGGAUCCGAGCGUUAUCCGGAUUUAUUGGGUUUAAAGGGAGCGUAGAUGGGUUGUUAAGUCAGUUGUGAAAGUUUGCGG